ACAAACUUGGUCAUUUAGAGGAAGUAAAAGUCGUAACAAGGUCUCCGUUGGUGAACCAGCGGAGGGAUCAUUACAGGAUUCGCUAGUCUCCCGUAACACCCUGUGAACAUACCUAUACUCGUUGCCUCGGCGGGUGCCCCGGCGUUCCGCGCCGGAGCGCCAGCCCGCCGGCGGCUCGCUACUCUGCUUUGACAAGACAUGCAUCUCCGAGUUUUUUACAAACGAAUCAAAACUUUCAACAACGGAUCUCUUGGUUCUGGCAUCGAUGAAGAACGCAGC
rnacentral:misc_RNA from 1 species